GGAAGGUAGGUAAUACGAGGCGGUGUGUCGUGCGCGCGCGGCGCGGGGGCGGAGCUAUUCCUCUUUGAACUCGGCGAGCCGAAGCAGGAGGAGGCGGUGCCGCGUUGGGGCGUCGGGCCCUCGGCGCGGAGAGCUGCGAAGCGGCUGCUGCUCCUCCGGGUUUCCUUUUGCCAAGGGGGUCCCGACGGUCGCCUCUGGAAGGAGUUUUUUUUUUCUUCCACCCCGCCCCGCCCCCCGCGGUUUGGAUGCGAAGGCCAGUUCCGGCUUGGGAACUGGAUGGGAAGCAGCUUCAGCGAGGGUGGCUGCAGGGGCGGCGGGCAUGGGGGAGCGUCUUAGCACGGCGAGCUCUCCGCCGGAGCCAGACGGAGCCGCCGCCCCCGAGCCGCGUCUCCCGACCACUGGGACUCAACCUCCGCUCCCCACAGUCAGUGGAAGGACACCAAGGCCACAGCAAGAGGACGAUGCUGGACCGCCGCCGGCUGAACCGCAAGGCCAGGAGGCCGGCAACGGCGGCGGGGCUCCCUUGGAAGAGGGUCCACGCUCGGAAGCACCAAGUAGCAACAGCUGCCGGCUUCCUUUGAGGCCCGUCUCCCGUGCGGAGAGCGAGCAGUCCCACGACGGCCCGCCGCCGCCGCCUUCUCCUCCUCCUCCUCCUACUCCAGGAGAAGAGGGCCGACAAGAGGACCCCCAGCCCGCCGUCUCGCCGCCGCCCUCCCAGCCAAGCGUAGUGGGAGCCGGAGGAAAAGGGAUCCCUUCCGGCCACGUCGAGGUUGACCUGUAUCUUCUGCCCGAAUCUUUCUCCGGGCUGAUCUCCGGGGACUUCGGGACCCUCCUGGUGCUGUCUUGCCGCGUCUGUCUGGAAGAGAAGCCCCUGAAGCCGCUGCCGUGUUGCAAGAAGCCCGUCUGCGAAGCGUGCCUCAAGCGCUAUCUCAGCUCCCAAGUGCAGGUGGGGCAAGCAGAUAUCCCAUGUCCGAUUACAGAGUGCAGUGAACAUCUGGAUGAAACCACCAUCCUCUUCAACUUGCCACAUGAUGACAUCAUCAAAUAUAAAUACUUCCUGGAACUUGGCCGUAUCGGCUCAAGCACCAAGCCAUGCCCUCAAUGCAAGCACUUUACAACCUUCAAGAGGAAAGGUCAUAUCCCGACCCCUACCAAAAUGGAGAACAAGUACAAAAUCCAGUGCCCAACCUGCCAAUUUGUGUGGUGUUUUAAGUGCCACUCUCCUUGGCACGAAGGUGUCAACUGCAAAGAGUUUAAAAAGGGAGACAAACUGCUACGUCACUGGGCCAGUGAAAUUGAACAUGGGCAAAGAAAUGCUCAAAAAUGUCCAAAAUGCAAGAUUCAUAUUCAGAGAACAGAAGGCUGUGAUCAUAUGACUUGCUCACAAUGCAACACUAACUUCUGUUACCGCUGUGGGGAGAGAUAUCGCCAGCUUCGUUUCUUUGGAGAUCACACAUCAAACCUCAGUGUUUUUGGAUGCAAAUACCGCUACCUCCCUGAAAGUCCACAUUUAAGGAGAUUAGUGAGAGGCUCCGUCUGUGGUGGGAAGUUACUUAUUGCACCAGUAAUACUGGUUUUGGGACUGGUAGUAGGAGCUGUAGUUGUUCUAAUAGAUUUAGUUGAAACUGCUAUCUUCUUCCUACCAUUAUAUGAAAGUAAAUUUUUAAAAAGUCACAAGAGUUAGAAUAAAUAAAUUCAGCAGGAACCAUUGAAAACACUAGCAAACAGCACAUUGUAAAAUUCUCUUCCGAAUAUCAGAAGCUAAGUCACAGUUUAUUUGUGUUCCCCAUCUAUUGCCUUUGUAAAAAGAAGAAGAAAAGACCACAAACUGAAAUGCCCUGGUACGAGUGAAGAGUUGUGCAUUUGAAUGGAGCUGAUCCUGCAAGGCUUAUGCAAAAUGACAACAACACAGCAAUAAUGUGUUGGUUAACUAUCUCGAUAUCACAGCCCUGGCAGAUAUUAGGGGCCAUCUGCCAUAUUCUUAUUGCACUGUACACUACUAAAGACAAGCCAGAAUUCUGCUCAGACCUGGGACCCCAGAAGUUUUGUUUUGUUUUUUUUAAACUCCCAACCCAACUGCCUAAGGUUUAAUUCAGCUCUUCCUUCUUGAACAGCUUAUAUCUGCACUGUAAAUGCCUAUCUACUGAUGAGCUCAUGAAAGAAGUAUAUAAUUCAGCAACAUUUUCCCAAGUUAUUGACAAUAAUUCUGGCACUUUUACAGAAACAAUUCGAGUGAAGGUGAUUUCUCUUCAGAGAUUGGUUUCAUGCUGGCAGUUGAUUAAAAGUAUUGUGUUAAAUGAUAACUAUGGUCAUCAACAGUAUGAUGGUUGGAUCCAUUUGGUGGUGAAUGCAAUAAUUGUCUUAGAUGUGAAAUUUUGCGUAAUAAUGAACCAUAUUAGCUGUUGACAGAUAUCCAGAAUAGAAAUGAGAAAUGAUUAGAACAGCAUCAAUAUCUCAUAUUUUACUACUGUUUAAAAAGUUGGAAAAAUUAGCUUGGAUGUUUGGGAGAUAAUGUCAUCCAUUUAUUGUGUUUUGAAUUGUAUAAGCAAUUCACUGUGUCUAACCUAAUUAGAGAAAGACAAAAACCUGUUCUUUAUGGUUAUUCUGUAGUGUCUGAUGCAAUGCAAGCUUUGUUAUACAUAUCCACACUGCAAGACAGUAGCAUGAUCAUAACCUAGUAUGCCACAGAAAUCAAGAUGUUUUGAAGAGCUAGGAAAUGAAAUAAUCUUCUUUCAGAUAGUUCUUCACAGUGUUCAGCAAAGUCCAUUAUAGAAAGUAACACUUUGCUCUGAAGAAACCAACAUAUAUUACAUUUCCACCAAACUGUAUCAGUUUGUCUAAAACUGUUUCCGGUUCUUCACUAGGAACAUCUAGGAAUGUCUGUAGUUUCAGAAAAGGUUCUUAAUAUAAGGCCAAUUAAAACACAGUGCCAGUUGGUCUGGUUCUUCAUAAUGGCGAAGAGAAGAUGUGGACCUUACUGAUUAGUCUGCCAUAUUAUGAUUCAUCCCUAAAAGUUGGGAAGGAUCAUGACCACCAAGUGAAACUUCCUAUGUUUUUGUAUAGACUCAGCAUGCUCAUGCUUCUCUACAGUUCUCUGGUGUUCACCAAGUGUCAUAAAGUAGGUUAUUAUAUACCUAAAUUGACCCAUAUACACAUACUGAAUAUAAGUGAUUGAGUUAAAAGAUUACCAGUAAAAUUUUUAAAAGCUAUUACAACAAAAUUGAAUGUUUGACUUCAAGAGCUGUUAGCCGAAUAACAUUUUGUUUUUCUUGUUGGUUUGCUUUUAAAAUAAUAACCAUUUAUUGGAUUUAAAAUUUAAAAAUGAUAAUAGGCUAAAAGGUUUAGGAAUAAAAAUGAUCAAGGAUAUUUUUUUUAAAGUUUUUCUGUUUUGUCCAGGGUAACAUAGAAGAGAAUGUUGGGGAAAGGGGGAACAUGGUAUGCAGUUAGUCCUUAGGAACUGAAUUUUAAAAGUGUCCUUUAAGUCACUGAAGUAGUUCUACAGUGAGAGGAAGGACUUUCCCUCAUUGAAGACCUGCUGCAGCUCAAGUGCAAUCUCUCUCUCUCUCUCUCUCUUUCUUUCUCUCUCAUGGCUUGGGUGAGAGAGGCCAAAUCACCUUUUCCAUUUCCAUGAGUCAGUGUUGAGACUUCCGUUUGCAUUCUAUGGACAGCAUGAUUCAGCCUGAGGUAUUAAUACUUCUUUCACUAUUGGAGAUCCUUAAAAAAGUAAGACAGUAUUACUGAAAAUGGCUAUUUUGCAAAUUGUUUGUUCGUGAAUUCAGUCUAUAAUCAUGCUAAUAGGCUCCAUGCAUUGCACAGGAAAGGAACAUGUACGCAUUUUAGCAAAACUUCUUAAGUGGAACAGUUUGUAUAAAAUCAACUGUAGUAUAUAAUCUGGAUUCAUUGUCUGGCCUGUUGAAGUAAACUAAUGUCUCUAAUUUGUUAAAUAUGUUCACUUUAAAUUCUGUUUUGCAUCAGUCAUUUUCUAUUAACCCCAAAUAAUACCCAUAUUUACUACUGCCUUUUUUAUCCAUUAAAAUUAAACUGAUUUUGGGGAGUCACUAGGGAGACGUUGCAUUUUAACAUAAUUUUUAUUUAUUAAAAAAUAAGAUUUGAUAUGUUGAAAUUAACUGCCUUUAAAUUAGUUAGAACUAUUUUAGACAGUGGUGGGAUUCAGCCAGUUCGCACCACUUUGGGAGAACCGGUUGUUAACUUUCUGAACAGUUUGGCAAACUGGUUGUUGGAAGAAAUCAUUAGGGCAGAGAACCGGUUGUUAAAUUACUUGAAUCCCACCACUGAUUUUAGAUAAUUUAAUUUCAAGGGUCUGCUGUUAACAUAAAUCUGCAUUCAACUAUAUAUCAUUAAUAUGUUUUUAGCUUAAUGUGUUUUUCUUUUAUUGUGUUUUUCAAAGUUGAAUGCUGCCUUAAGAAACUUUUUUUUAAAAAACGAUUGUAUACUUAAUCCCAAAUAAUUGUUUUCUCAGGCCAAACGUAUCUAUUGUCUUUGAUUUACUCAGGGAUUUUAGUCCUUCCUUAUAAUGUCAGAUGCUAUUGUGAAAACAUUUUUGUAUUACUAACAUUCAGACACCCAAGUUAUGAUUGGAUUUGAUGUUUAUAGUGCGGAAUACAUUAAAGCAAUGUCCAGGCUUCCAUUUGAUUUAAGAAUUAUCUUUUUCUGCAAUGCUUCCAUAUUUUCCCCCUUCUUUUAUCCUUGUGAAACAUACUGCCUAUAUAGCAGUUCUUGGAUUUUGUCUAGAAACCUUCGUAUGUAAAAGCAAAUUAUGUGCAAAGAUAAAUGCUUAUCAGCUAGCCCAUUUGUCUAGAAUACAAUAUCAGUACAAUUGACAGAGAUAACAAUCAAUGAUUUUGUGUAAGAUUCUGCAUUUGAACAAUCAGAGUGGACCCUUAUGAAAUGCUGCAGUCUUUUUCAUUCAUGUUUGCACAUUUGGGACCACAUAAGAUAAUCUCAUUUAUGGAAACCGAACAUUCUAUAAGUGGAUUACUUUUGCUGGAUAAAAUGCAAGUGUUUUCCUUUUUUUAAAAAAAAUGGCAUCUUGGAUAUAAAUUGGGUGGUAUUGAAAAAGUUGAUAUAUUAAAAUAAAAAACACAAAUAUGUAUGCAUAUUAUGCCUGUAAGAAAUUUAAAAUUGAAGCUUUAUUCCCAUUCUAAUUCUUAACUUUUAACACUAAACUUACUGCUUGAAGAAAUAUUUCCGUCAAAUCCUGUAGUUAUUCUUAUUUUAGUAAAUUCACCCCAAAAUGAAAUUAUACUAUCCCAUUAAAAAAACAUAUGCACUAGCUUUCUAUAAAGUGUUUAUUAAAGAUUAAUCUUUACAAAUUGUAUUUCAGUCAGCCUUAACUAUAUAUCUGUGAACAUGUUCAGCUUAACAAUCAUUGAAUAAUUAUGGAUUGUUUCUGGAAGAAAAUUGUAUUUUUCUGAAUUGUUUUUUGACUAUUAUAAAUAUUGUGUUUCUCUUUCACAAUUUCUGGCUUGAUCUUUGGUGCUUUUCUGAGAAAAGUUACUCCAGUUUAAAUUACUUUUGUCCCCAAUGUCUCUAGUCUUUUCUUAUUUAUAGUAAGGAAGUCAUCUUUAAUAUUUUUAUUUAUAUAAUGUAACUUUAUCAAAGCAAAAGACUUGAAAUAUUUAAAUUAUUUAAAAGUUUCCUUUUUAGGAUAUAAUUCUUCUUUAAUUUGACAGUGAAAAAUAGAAAAGCUUGAAUGAUAUUGUGCCACUCAAGUAUUUAUUCUAAGAUCCUGAUUGCUAUAUAACUAAAUAUGUCAACCCCAGGAAGAUUAGAUUAUACAGCGCUUUUUAAAUAUAUAUAUUUGCCAAAUAGAAUUGUAUUUGCAUUUAAAGUAAAAUACUAAAUUGCAUGAGGAUUUCAUCUUAAUGGAGAAAUUACUAACAUUCUGGCUCCAUUUGAUAUUUAGCUUGUGUAUGGUUUCAGCAAAUAGGCUUUCUCUGAUUAUAACAAACUAUUGUGCUACUUUUGGACAUUUUCAGUAAAUGAAGUUACCGUAUAAAAACCAUAAUCAUAAUGCAGUGCAGUUCUUGGCUACAUAUUGGCUAGUUCUGUAUUUCUAGAGCACUUUCUUUAGAACUAUUCAUUUAAUGCGUUGUCUAUAUUAAAGUAAUGAAUAGAUUUUUAAAAAAAAUAAGAUGUUGUAACCACGUAACACUACUGCCAUUUCUGGUGCAGCUUUACUAAGAUAUUCAGUGAAUUAUAAAAAAUAUGAUCUUGCUUUAGGUGGCAUGAUGGUUGAUAACUGUAUUGAUGCUUGCCUGCUUUUUUUCUAAAGAUGACGCCAUUCAAAGUUUUUGUUAAAAACAGAGAAAGCUGCCCUGUAAUUUGAUGGAUCUGACAUACUGAAAAAAGCAGGUGAAAUUAUUGAACACAUUUUGUUUUACAUGAUGUUAAUCUAUGAAAAUACGUCAGGUAACCUUUUCUUAAAAUAUACAAUUGUAUCCCAUCCAUUUAUACUUCUCUACAGCAGUGCUGAUUUACGCCUUUAAAGGCUGUAAUUGUGUUGUCUUUCUGAAUGUGUCUUAGUAUUAGCAAAAUACGCUAGAAAAGAAAACCCUCCAUGACAUGCAAAGUAAUUCUGUGGCAUCAGAUCUGAUAGUAUUGAUCAACUCUCUCUCAUGGGAGGAGAUCACUUCAUUUCCCAUCAAGAGAUGUCAACUGUGUAAGUUGUUGCUUUACCCAUUUGCUUUUCUGAGGUGUAUUUUGUAUGGCAGUAGGAUCUGAAUACAGAAUUUUGAAAACUGUAGAGUACUAAUUAUUACUAAGUACAUAGAACAUUAAUUUACACUUGCAGUCAUAUACAGAAGUUUCAAGGACAAAGGAAUGAAUAUGUCUUUUUUUUCCCCUCUGUGGCAUUCAUAAUCUUUUUAAUGCAUUGCCAAUGUUACGUGCUAACUUCAUAGCUUCUCUGUUUGUGUAACAUUUCCAAAUAAGUUGCAUAUGAAAUCCUGACUAUGUGAGAAGGCAAGGUGGUUUGUUUGUUUUAAUUUAUUUAAACAACCUAGUAUAUGUUAUAAUUACACUUGGAACUAUAUGUACUUUUGUGCUGUAAUAGACUUUGAUUUAUAAAAAUCAUAAACAAUAUUUCUGAAAGGAAGUGGUGGACUAAUUGACACACAAUAAAUCUGAAACCGUACUUCUUAUGGUAAAAAUAAAAUAAAAACAUCUGUGUUCUCCUCUG